rnacentral:misc_RNA from 1 species
GAGAUUGGUUAAUUGACCAAAUUCCAAGAGUCCAUGCAAAGGUCUAAUAAGCGAGGCCGUCUGAUGGAAAACUUCAAGGGCUUUCAUCUCUGUCAAGGCUGCUUUUGGCAAAUGCAACAACUCCCUGUCAAAAAUACGUUGCUUCAACAACAAUAUCUUGAGUUUUGGGCAGUCCAAGCAUCAGGAAAUUGAAUUUGAGAAAUCUUAUUUUCCAUUAUUGAGAUGGCAGUGUAAUGCUUCAUAUUUUUCAUACUUGGCCAACCCUCCAACUUUUUGACACGGUCUCUCACCAAAUAAUCUGACGCCAUUGAUAAGGCAACAUCACGCACGACAUCAUGCAUUUUGACGCAGCCU